rnacentral:lncRNA from 1 species
AGUGGUCUGUGAUGACAAAAAAAAAGGUAAUUUCUCUCAAGAUCCAACCGAAGCUAUUCUAUAUACACAAGCUAGAAUCAGCCAAAAACAUAUAAGGAGACUCCACCAGGAGUGGGGAGUUCUCGGGAAAGCUUUUGCUUCAGAAAAAAGAUCAAAGUACACAGGAGAGCUGUCUGGUGCCAUUCCUUGAGCAUGUGAGAGACUGUGUCACUGGGAGCAGCAGUUACCUGUGGUCAUAAGUUGAGAUGACUGGAUGAAAUGCUAAAAUGUUGAGAAGACAAUGCAUAGGAGUGAAUGAGACAGAAAGCAAGACCAUCAGGAUGACUAAGAAGAGCAAGUACAACAUGGCUGAGACUAAGUGUCCAGGGAGUUGAGAAUAAGUGGCCUAUUGUCAUGUCCUAUAUAAGUAGAGUAUAUGGAUGGGAAGCCAAGAAUACACCAACAAAUAAAAUAUUGACUAUAUCGGUCAAGG